rnacentral:lncRNA from 1 species
UAUAUUUUGAAUGGAUGUCCAAGUGUCUGUAAUAAGUGAUACUUUUUUGAUUUUAAGCAAUAAGGAUAUUUUUUCAACUCCAAUUUCUUAUCCAAAUAGAGUUGGUAAAUUUCUCUAAUAAUGGUCCUACGAGAUGGAGUAUUAAACCAAGGACAUGCUACACUAAAAAACUAUCCAAAUCUCAUUCCUUCGCUAAAGCUAGAAGGGGUAGUUCAUGUUACAUUUUACCACAUGCAAGUAUGCCUGCUUCCUUUUUAAAGCCAAUAGCCUAGAAGAUUGGUCCUAUUACCCUCGAGCUGUUUAAUGAGUAACCAAAUGACCUUUCAAAGUACGUGUCCUGUGCUUUUUAGCCUCACAAGCAUAAGAUUGCUCCCAAUAUUUGCUCUCAUACUUAACAUCUUCCACUUUUGGAUCCUACUAUUGCAAAAUAAUACCACAUCCAAAGUUUUCCUAUUUUUCUCUCUUCCCUAAACAUGAGGUUGAAAGUGGAGGAAAAGUUGUAGCACUUGUACAAGUAUUUGUUGUUGCUGAGUAUCCACUGGUUUUUGAAAUUCAUCAUCAAUAUCCAUAUUCUAAUCUGUACAAUAUAGGCUUGUCGUAUUAGGAAAAACCGUGGAUAAGUAAUAUAGAUGCCAAAUAAGCAGUUCAUAUCAUAAUUUAAUCAAAAUACUUGCACUACGAUGAUUUUAAUAUGAUAAAGUAAGAAAAAAUGAUUAAUUUGCCAAACUGAGACAUUUUUUAAUCAAGAAUCAAUUUUAUCUAACAGCCUUGAGUUCCUUUUGUUCAUUAAGCAAUCUAAUAAGAUAUAAUGCAAAAUCUCAUAGAUAAUACAAAACUGGAUGUUAUAUUUGCUUCUUUCAAAUUAAAACAUAAGAGACAAUCCAAGUAAACCAAAUCACCUAGGAGUUGAAAGACUGUUGACAUUGAUAAUAAAAAAUCAUAACUGGAUAUUCCUAUCAAUCUAAAAUUAGCAACUGUAAUGGACAAUCAACCACAACUUUGCAUAGGAACAAAUAGAAAGUUAAAUCCAACAUCAAACGAAAAUUUGUCUAAUAAAUAUUGAUCUGCUAUGCUAGAGGAAAUUAUUUCAAAUUAGCAUAUACAAAUUCAAACAUAAAGAAAACCUGAAAAACCUAUAUAAUUUUGGAAAAAACUCAAAAAGUAUAGUGAGACACAUCAUUUGAGGAAUUAAUCAAUCUUCGGCCAAUGAAGAAGCAACUAAUUUUGAGAAAAAGAACAAAUUUUGAAUCAGAAGGAACUUACCUGAAUCCAUUGGAAUUACGUCAAACAGCUUCAACUUUCGAGAGAACAACAAAUCAAAGUAGUUGACUCCUUCAAGGCGAAAUGGCGAAACGACCGAGAGACAGCGAGGUGAAGACGAAUAGUGACAAUGGCGGGCUAGAGACAUUGAGGUUUCUUUUUUUUAUUGUACGAUGGAUUGAGGGAGCUUUAGGUUUUUUUAAGUUAACAGUUUUGAAUUUUAAAAUUGAAUUAAAAUAUGUGUUAUCAACUUGGUUGUUUAACCUGCAAUUGAACCAUGGGUUUAUGUUAAUCAGAUUUCAUAUUCAUAUCCAGCCCAUGGGUUUAUGUUAAUCAGAUUUCAUAUUCAUAUCCAGCCCAUGGGUUCAUAUCCAGCCCGAGGUUUUUUGAGUUAUUUCCCACCCCUACUGCUAUGUAGUAAAUUGUAAUUGUAAAUUAGUGUUCACAAAAGCUGUAAUAAAUUGAAGUAGUGAACAUCUGAAGGGCCCAUAGCCAUAUGUCGUUUCAUGUUUUACAAGGAUAUGGCAUGUUAACCAAAGUGUUGGGUUAAUAUAGAUGCACCUUAAUGCUGAAGGCAUCAAGAAACAAGCUAAAAUAUUAUUGGGAAGUAAUGAAUAUACAUGCUUCAUCCGGAAAAAUAUAGGAUUAGGGUGGGGGUUUGUCCAUUAUACUGAGAAAUCUUCACUUCGGCACCGCCAGUAUCUAGUACAGAUUUUGAAAUUUUCCUGAAAGCAGUGAACUAAUCAACUGAUAUCUUUAUGAAUCAUUGACAACCUCUGCUGCGCCGAAGGACAGUUUACCUUAAUUGCUGCUUAUUCAGGCUAAAUAUUGAUUUCUUAUAACAUUUGAGCACAAUGUUUGACAUGGAAUGUUCUUGCCCCGACUUUAGAUGACGAGUUUUCAUGUUUGAAUUUUGCAUGAGAAUAUAAUGAUCUCUGAAAUUUGAACUCGUGCAUUCUGUGAUGGCAGGUUACAGAGGCAUGAAAAGGGACUGCUACCUGGUGCUUAGACUGCUGUUAAUAUUUGUCCUUGUAACAAUAUCUUGUGCCUUAAUUCUAAGCUAUGCCAAUGCCGAUGCCAAUGUCGACGAUGAUAUCUGUUAUCCAAGACUUUGAGAGGCAGGUUUGCACAGCGAACUUUCAUUUGGUCACACAUGAUCUUUACGAGUAUAUGGUCUCUCCUAGUACUGGAAUACUUGUAUACUACCCUUGACCACUUUCUAGUAAGUCGUUUAUUAUGAUUGUUAUAAGCACUUUUGAUCAUUAUCUUAAGCAUUUCAUGGAAUUACAAGUCUCCCUAGUAAAAGUAGGGACCCUUCGUCUGGGUGGGCCAGGGUGGCAUAGGGUGCCACACGUUUAG